rnacentral:lncRNA from 1 species
AGAUCACCAUGGUGACUUGCAAGCAACUCACUAUGCUUUGAUGCUAGACUACCUGAAUUUUUAAUUCAGUAAUGAAAGAUUUUUGGACAUAGUCAAGUACUUGCGAAGUCGGUGUGUGAGUCAAGAUGGAAUUGACCCCUUCGAAUAAGGAGUUAAUAUAUUAGUGUAUUUUAAUUCAGUAAAAUUUUGAUCAGAAUAAUCUAUGUUAUAGAUUUUAAAAAUUAAAAUAUAAUGUAGAUGAUCAUAUCAAAGUUGGCAGUUAAACCCUAGGUCACCUUGAGCAU